AACCAUUCUCACCUGCGGCUAGACCUGCGGAGGGAUCAUUACCGAGUUUACAACUCCCAAACCCCUGUGAACAUACCACUUGUUGCCUCGGCGGAUCAGCCCGCUCCCGGUAAAACGGGACGGCCCGCCAGAGGACCCCUAAACUCUGUUUCUAUAUGUAACUUCUGAGUAAAACCAUAAAUAAAUCAAAACUUUUAACAACGGAUCU
rnacentral:misc_RNA from 1 species